AUGGCGAAUAGCAUGGGGUCACAAGCUCGGGAGGAGCAGUACACGGCUUCGUCCACGGCAGCAAUGAUGAACUACUUAGAGGAUGCGGUUGCCCCUCGCGACAAGGCUCUUGAUCUUCUUGGUUGGUGGAAAGAGAAUGCUCCAAGGUACCCAAUGUUGGCCAAGAUAGCCAAGAGGUUCAUUACUAUCCCGGCUACCUCCGUGUCUUCGGAAUCUACCUUUAGCACGACCGGAAGGAUUUUAGAUGACUAUAGGAGUUCGUUAAAACCGGUUAUGGUGGAGGCAUUAGUUUGUGGUGCAAGUUAUAUCAAGGGUGCUCAUGUUGACUUGAAUCUGGUGCCGAGGGAUGAGAAUAAAGAGGAUGAUGUUGAGAACAUCAAGUUACCCACUGUGGUGGAGGAGAUCAACGAUUGGUAA
rnacentral:rRNA from 1 species